rnacentral:tRNA from 1 species
GGGAAUAUGACUUAAUGGUAAAGUGCUUGCCUACCAUGCAUGAAGACCUGGGUUCGAUUCCUUAGUACCA